GGGAGCAAUGAGUGCUACUGAGUAAACACAUGUACAUUGUCUCUGCAUAUGCAAGGACCCUUGUGACAAACACAUCUAUUGAGAGUCACGAUUCCAUGUCUGUGGGUGGCCUCCCAUGAUAAUCCUCUUAGUUUCCACUCUUUUGUUUGCUAUUCUCUGGAGUCAGAUGGAUAAAGCUUCAGUUUCCCAGGUAACCAACCAUGGAUCUGAGCUGAGUGACCCAGUGCCGAUGUGAAGAAGAAUGUUGCCAAGACAACGGAAUCCAUACCCCUUUCCAGCACUGAGGCCUUCCUCCCUCUCACUACCUGCUUGGAUCUCAGGCUUUACCCCAUAAAGACAAAGAAACUGGCUGAGGAGACAAGAGAAAGAAAGUAGCAGAAGAUGGGAAGGAAACAGACGGAGUCUCACUUGUGUUGCCAAGAGAGCUUGAGCAUCAACUGGCAGUGAGGACGGCAGGAAAGCAACUGACUUAUCCCCUCUCACCAGACCUUCCAACUGUCUGCAACACUGGCAUUGCCACGUAUCCCGGCACGUUGUUGAUCCCAUUGUGGCAUUGUGGUCAGAGAAUAUACAAAUCGCUGAAGAAUCCAUUGUUUAUGGACAUUCCUGGGAUAGUAUUCAUUUAAAUAUCUCUAUGUACACUGUAAUGGACUAUAAUACAAAAAUGGAGUUGCACGCAAAAUGAGGGUACCACUCAGUAAAUGGUUCCACAGGGACGUCUGAUCCCCUACGAUCUGGGUUAAGAAAUGGUGUAGUGUAUUGCCGGCAGCUCAAAAGCACUCUCAUGCCAGUCACUCUUGUCUUCCACCUCAGCAAAUCUAACCACUCUUGUGACUUUUAACACUUGACGAUAAUCCUGCCUGUUUGUGAACGCAUUACACAUGAGUAGAAUCAGUACAGUACGUAUUUUAUAAUCCGGGUUUCUCUUGGCAACAUUAGGUUUUUCUCCUUGCUAUUCACUUUUGUCGUGCUGUGUAGCUGAAUUUCGUUUCUUUGCAUUCCUGCGCAGUGUUUUGAAUUGUAUGACGAUGCCACAAUUUAUUCAUGCCUUUUAUUUCUAAUGGGCUCUUCAGUAGUUUCCAGCGCUGGAGUGUUAGUGUUAUUAUUGUGGUGCACGUUCACAAGGAUGUCCUUUGGUUAACAUGCGUAUGCAUUUAAGGCUGUGCUUGCAGGACUGCUUUGAUUACUUUUUCUUCCUUCAUGGCACUGUAAGUGGUGACAGUGGAUGUAUCUGGUUUUUUUCCCCCCCUGAUCUCAGAGGGAAAGCUGUCAACAUGUCACCCGUAAGUAUCGUUGUUUUUGUAGGCUUUUAAAAUAUAUUCCAACGGAAUCAAGAGAGUUCCCUUUUGUUCGUAGUUGGCUAAGAGGUUUUAUCAUAAGUGCAUGGUCAUUUAAAAAAAAUCAAACCCAUGAAAUACCCUUCCUGCGUCUGUAGGGAAUAUCAUAUUUUUUCUCCUUCAUACAUUACUUCUGAGAGAUAGAUUUUUCAAGCACUGAACCGCUUCAUUUCUAGAAUACUCUUGACUUGUUUGUGAUACGUUUUCCUUUUUGGAGAUUUAACUGAUUUGUUUUGCUAAUGCUUUAUUCAAGAUUUCUUCUUCUGUGCUUAUGUAAAAGAUAGGCCUGUGCAUUUCAUUUCUUACCAUGCCCUUUAAGGUUUUUCCCUCAUAAAACGGGAUGGGAAGCAUUUCCCGUUUUUUAUGUUACUUGGCAAGAAGGUAAGAUUGAUAUUCCUUCCUUCACAAACGUUUUGUAGAAUUAAUCGGUGGCAGCAUCAGAGUCCGUAGGUUCUUGUGGCUGUUGCUGUUGUUUCCUUCAGAUUCCGCCCGUUUAGAAUUUGUAGGACAAUUCAGAUGUUUAGUCUGUUUUCUGUCAUUUUGUUGUAUUUUCUUGAAAUGUGUAAAUUAUAUCCAAAGUUUCACAUUUGUGGGCAUAAAGUUGCUCAUGGUUUUGAAUAAUGAUCUCUUUAAUGCCUUCAUUGCCCAUAGUGAUGUCUCCUUAGCCACUCCAGACACGGGUUGCUUCAUGAUUUCUCUCCUUUUUGUUCAGGCCUACACAAGGCAUGUCUUAAUCACAUCAUCUUUUCAAAAAACCACCUCUGGCUGUGUUGUUUUAUCUUUAACUGAUUUGUACUUUUAUCGUUAUUUCAUUUCUUCUGCUUUCUUCAGGUUUAAUCUGUUGUUCAACAUGGUUAAGAAAGAUGCAAAUGUUGUGCCUUUCUUUUUCAUGCAAUCUAGACAAUUAAAAUACAUCCCAUAAGUUUUCAUCAGGUUCAAAAUACUUUGUGAUUUCAUUGGUGAUGUUUUCCUUGAGCUAUGGGUUAUUUAGAAAAUAGGAAAUAAAAAGGAUGCCUUUUCUAAAAAUAAAAUGAAGUGAAAUAAAAAGGAUGCCCUUUUAUUUCAUUUUCUUGCUUAAUUGCCCUCUGAACUUCCGGGACUAUGUUGAGAAGAAGUAGCAAAAGCGGGCAUCUCUGUCUUGCUCCUGAUCUUAGAGGAAAAGCUUUCACUCUUUCGCCAUCGAGUACAGUGUUCACAAUGAGUAUUUUACAUAGGACUUUUGUGACGUUGAGGUUGUUUCCUUCUGUUUCAAGGAGUUUGAGUGUUUUUAUCACGAAGGGGGUUGACUUUUUUCAGAUGCUUUUAGUGCAUCAAUUGAGCCGAUCAUGUGGUUUUGUCCUUCAUUUUGUUGAUGCCGUACACUAAAUUAGUUGAUUUUCAUUGAUCGAAACUUCCUUGCAUUCCACGAAUAAAUCCCACGUGGUCAUGGGCCUUUCAUGUGUUGUUGAACUCGGUGUGCUAGACUUUUGUUGAAUAUGUAUGCACAAACAUUCUUUUGGGAAGUGUGUGUGUGUGUGUGUGUGUGUGUGUGUGUGUUUCUGGUCCUAAUUCUUCUCUAAAUGUUUAGUAGAAUUCUCCACUGAAGCCCUCUAGUCCUGCGGUGGUUUUCUCUGUUGGGAGGUUGAUGAAUACUGGUUAAGUCUCCUUAUGAGUUGUCGAGAUCUGCUGAGAUUUUUUAUUUCUUCAGGAGUCAGUCUUGGCAGCGUGUAUGUUUCUCAGAAUUUAUCCAUUUCUUCUAAAGUAUCAAAUUUGUUGGGGUAUAGUUGUUCCUGGUCUUCUCCUUAUAAUCUUUUUUAUUUCUGUAGUAACAAUUGUAAUGCCCCUCUGUCAUUCUGAUUUUAGUUAUUUGACCCUUCUCUGUUUUUUUCUUAAUCUGCUUAACCUAUGUUGACCUUUUCAGAGACACCAGCUCUUAGUUUCAUUGUUUUUUUUUUUCCUAUUAUUUGUCUAUUCUCCAUUUCCUUUAUUUGUGCUCUAAUCUUUAUUACUUCCUUCCUUCUGCUAACUUCGGGUUUACGUUGUUCUUCCUUUGCUAGUUCUCGAAACACAAAGAUAGGCUGUUGAUUUGAGAUCUUUCUUCUUUUUCACUGUAAGGAUUUACCACAAUAAACUUCCCUCUUAACACUGCUUUCCCUGCAUCUCCCUAGUUGUGGUAUGUGGUGUUUUCAUUGUCAUGUGUCUCAAGAUACUUUCUAAUUUCCUUGUGGUCUGUUCUUUGACCCACUGGUUGUUGAAGAGAGUGUUGUAAUUUCCACCUGUUUGUGACUUUUUCAAUUCUCCUUCCGGUAUUGCUUUCUAGUUUCAUUCCAUUGUGGUCAGAAAAGAUAAUUGGUAUGAUUUCAAACUUCUGAAGUUUGUGAAGAUCCUAAAUGUCAACAAAAAAGCUAAAGCAUAAGACCUCUGGAAGAGAAUUCAGGAUAAAGCCUUGAAAAACUUGCUGUAGGCGAAGGACUCUUAUAGCUAUGACACAGAAAGCAAUAGCCAUGCAAAAACACCUUAAGUGAAUUUCAUCAAAUUUAGAAAUCUGGCUUUUCAUCAUUAGCGAAAUGAAAAAGCAAACCUUUCAUUGCGGCAAUGUUUGCAAUAUAUACUACCCGACAAUGGAAAAGUUUGCACGCAAAAAAGCACUCUUAUAAUUCAGUAUUAAGACGACAAAUGAUAAUCAAUGUGCAAACCAUGUGAAUGGUUCUUCACAUGCAACACGGAACGAUAUGCAACUGGUCAAGAGAAGAGGCUGGGCCAAGGUCACUAGUGGAGGCAGCGGCAAAGCUGGGUCAGAGAUCUCAGGCAAGUCACCUCCCUUCUCUGAGUCUGUUUCCUCAAGUGCACAGUAGUAGCUCAGACGAUCUUUGAGGGUGUCACGAGGUAGUGGGCAAAACGCCCUUGGCCCAGGGCCUGAUGACGACAAAAACAAGGAGGAGCAGCAGGAUGGAUGCCCAGGAAGGAAAGCACCCAACCUGAUGUCUCAGGAGACUGGGAGGGCGGUGGCAGGCCUCAGAAACCUAGGGUGGAACCUGUCGUUCAGGGAAGCCGUGAGGGGUAGCGAAUCAUGCACAAUGAAGGGAGAUGGGGAGUGGUAUGUGCACGUGGGUGCGAGGGUGGGUGUCAGGAGAGAGUGCCCAGCAGGUGGGUGUAUCACCCCCAGGACACUGCAAGACCCUGGAUGGCAGGGGCGGCCGACAGCAGGGCCCAGUGCACGCACCCUGGCCUCAGAGGGUCCCGGGUUCAAGUCUGUGCUCUGCCACUUCCUGGCUGUGUGACUUGGGGAGAGCGUCUUCCCUCUCGGAGCCUCAGUUGGCUGAGACCAUGAAAUGGCCUUACUGCCCCCACCUCUCGGGCUUGGCCGAGAAACAGAAACAUAGGCCCAGAUGAGAAAUUGUACAUGAAUAUUCAGAACAACUUUAUGCAUAAUGUCAAUAACUGGAAACAAGUGAAUGCACGAAUGCU